GAUGAACGCUGGCGGUGUGCCUAAUACAUGCAAGUCGAGCGAACAGACGAGGAGCUUACUCCUCUGACGUUAGCGGCGGACGGGUGAGUAACACGUGGAUAACCUACCUAUAAGACUGGGAUAACUUCGGGAAACCGGAUCUAAUACCGGAUAACAUGUUGAACCGCAUGGUUCAACAGUGAAAGACGGUUUUGCUGUCUCUUAUAGAUGGAUCCGCGUCGCAUUAGCUAGUUGGUAAGGUAACGGCUUACCAAGGCAACGAUGCGUAGCCGACCUGAGAGGGUGAUCGGCCACACUGGAACUGAGACACGGUCCAGACUCCUACGGGAGGCAGCAGUAGGGAAUAUUCGGCAAUGGGCGAAAGCCUGACGGAGCAAUGCCGCGUGAGUGAAGAAGGUCUUCGGAUCGUAAAGCUCUGUUAUUAGGGAAGAACAAAUGUGGAAGUAACUAUGGACGUCUUGACGGUACCUAAUGAGAAAGCAACGGCUAACUACGUG
rnacentral:rRNA from 1 species